rnacentral:pre_miRNA from 1 species
AAUAAAUCAAUCUUUUACUUUUACCUAUAAUGUUUGACUCUUCGUCUUAUUUGAAAAAAUAUACGAUUAAUAUUUUUACUUUUAUUUGAUGAUAAAUCAUGAAUAGUACUUUACAUGUGACUAUUUUUUUAUAAUUUCUUAAAAAAUUUUCAAAUAAAAUGGAUGGUUAAACGCUGGAUACGGAAACCAAAG